GACGAACGCUGGCGGCGUGCUUAACACAUGCAAGUCGAACGGAAAGGCCCUGCUUUUGUGGGGUGCUCGAGUGGCGAACGGGUGAGUAACACGUGAGUAACCUGCCCUUGACUUUGGGAUAACUUCAGGAAACAGGGGCUAAUACCGGAUAGGAGCUCCUGCUGCAUGGUGGGGGUUGGAAAGUUUCGGCGGUUGGGGAUGGACUCGCGGCUUAUCAGCUUGUUGGUGGGGUAGUGGCUUACCAAGGCUUUGACGGGUAGCCGGCCUGAGAGGGUGACCGGCCACAUUGGGACUGAGAUACGGCCCAGACUCCUACGGGAGGCAGCAGUGGGGAAUAUUGCACAAUGGGCGGAAGCCUGAUGCAGCAACGCCGCGUGCGGGAUGACGGCCUUCGGGUUGUAAACCGCUUUCGCCUGUGACGAGGCGUGAGUGACGGUAAUGGGUAAAGAAGCACCGGCUAACUACGUGCCAGCCGCCGCAGUAAAAC
rnacentral:rRNA from 1 species